rnacentral:tRNA from 1 species
GGAAGCCAAUCUUGGCCGGUGCUGGGCGCGGGCUUCAAACCCGUUGUCGCGGUACUCUGUGCCGUGGGUGGGUUCGACUCCCACUGGCUUCCGCCA